ACAUUAAUUUCCAUAUUGUCUAAACGACUGGAAAAAACUUGAGCCCCUGCCCCUGUAUAAUCAUGUGCACGUCCCUGUUCUAGCUCCAAGGUGAAUCUUGACUGCUCAUGUUCUCCUCAGAAGCAGUCACCUCACUCCCCUCAGGUUACUGUACACAUGCACCAACUGCCUGCUUCAGGUUUGGAUGGAGCUUCAUGGUUGUCUUUUGGAGAAAUGAGCAGUCAAGUUGUGUUUGAAAUUUCAUUUUUUUCAGGGGCAAAAGGAAGUCUCUGCAUUGUUGUCAAAUAUGUAAAUAGCAUGUUUUUGCAGGUGCUGAAAAACAGACUCUGAGUGUGUUGUGUGUGUGUGUGUGUGUGUGUGUGUGUGUGUGUGUGUGUGUGUGUGUGUGUGUGUGUGUGUGUGUGUGUGUCUGUGUGUGUGUGUGUCUGUGUGUGUGUAUCCUGCAGUACUCUGUACUCCUGCAGUGGCCAAAACGACUUUUAAGAAUGUGGAUAUUUGGGUCAUCUUUGGCGCCCCCUAGAACGUAAACCAUGGGGUGCAGCGGCAUGAUUUUUACAACUUUGACUGGCCAUGGGGUGUAGAUUGGCCUGAGCAAAUUUGGUGUCAGUGGGCCGGAAGCCUUAGGAGGAGUUAGCCACAUUCCAAUGUGUGCGAAUCGGCAAAAAAUGCAAAAUAGCCGUUUAGCCGUACAUUUUACAGAUACGCGCGCAUUGACUUUUUCGUAGAUCUUAUUGAGAUACACGUGUGUGUCAAAUUUUGUGUCAUUUUGACAAAGCAUACAGGCGUGAAUCUCAACAAUGUGUAUUUUCACCUUAGGGGACAAGAAAAAAUUGAUUUUUUGUCCUGCCAUGGGGGGCCGCUCUUUUGGGGAGUAAAAAUUCCUUUACAAAUGUGUUGAUGGCUGGACAUUGCAUCAUCCUAGAAAACUUGGAGGCCAGUGAGGACAAAAAAAAAAAGUUAUAAAACUUUUAAGAAUGUGGAUUUUUGGGUUAUUUUUGGCGCCCCCUAGAACCUAAACCAUGGAGUGCAGCAUCAUGAUUUGUACAACUUUGAAUGGCCAUGGAGUGUAGAUUGGCCUGAGCAAAUGUGGUGCCGGUGGAACGAAAGCCUUCGGAGGAGUUAGCGAAAUUCCAAUGUGUGCGGAUCUGCAAAAAAUGCGAAAUAACCCUUUAACCGUACAUUUGACAGAUAUGCCCGCACUGACUUUUUUGUAGAUCUUAUUGAGAUACAUGUGUGUGUCAAUUUUUGUGUCAAUAUGACAAAGCGUACAGGCGUGACAGUCAAUAGUGUGAAUUUUCACCUUAGGGGGCGCUAUGGAGCCAUUUUGCAUUUUAUUGUUUGGGCGACUUCAGAAUAUCGAAUUUUUCACCAGGCCCGGUCGUCCUGCCAAAUUUCCUGAGUUUUCGCCAGUGGGAAGUGGGCCAUUUUCCCCUUCAAAGGGGAGGAAAAAUAAGAAGAAAGAAAGAAAGAAAGAAAGAAGAAAGAAAAACCUAUACAGGAAUAAUAGGGCUCUACGCCCGGCUGCUCUGCAGCUGGCUCGGGCCCUAAUAAUAAGAAGAAGAAGAAGAAAGAAGAAUCCAUCAGGAAUAAUAGGGCUCUCGCAGCUGCUUAGCAGCUACGCUCGGGCCCUAAUAACUAGGGCCCCGGUGGGGCACUGUCGGGCCCGAGCCGCGUCGUGCCGCCCCCAGCGUGACCGCCUCCCCCUCCCGAUCGCGUCACACUCAAGGUCCAAAGAUGGUGUGCGCACUUGUCUGUGGUCAUUUCCCACUAUAAUGAAUGGGAGGCGCAGUUUCUACCAAAACACUCGCUGCAGACAAACUUCAUGUCCUAUUUGAAAAAAGUCUGGACCAUGAGUGAGGGCACAAACACAGCUGGGAUAUAUCCAAAUGGCAGGUUGCUCCUCCUUACGGUGUUGCCUGGAGAGCGAUGCGAUUGAGCCAUUGAGCGAUGGGCAGGAAAAA
rnacentral:lncRNA from 1 species